UUAAAUGAGUGUGACUGGCCAGGUUUGGUUCCCAUCCCUAGCAAUGUGCCUCUGCUGUUAAGGCCAAAGUUAUCGUGGGCUACGUAUGACAGGUGCUAGACAGGAACUGCAGUGCUUCUCACCUUUGGCGUGUCAGUUGCUUGACUGUCUCAUCCCAGAUGAAGGUGUUCUUGCAAUGCCUAAAGGACCAGGCUGUUGCUUUCGGUCUGCACCAACCGAUUACAUUGCACCUCCCCUAAAAUUUUCAGUACAACACCACAGCUCAUGUGCCUGCUGCGAGCCAGUGUCGCAAGACGUGUUGCAUGAGGGUAACUGUGACUAUUGCAACAGCACCAGCGAGCACCUCAGCUUCUCCCACCGCAGCCAGCAGAGACAAGGAGCAGCAGCUCCAUCCUUAUGCACAUGGGUCACUUUCUGAUUGGCCAAGGGGAGAGGUGGCAGCCGGAAUAAGCCCAUAUCUCACCCAGUAUAAAACCAGGGGAUGUGGGGCAAUAAAAUAUUCCCUGAUCCUAACCCACCUGGAUGCACGCUGUUCUUGGUGGGGUUCUUACUGCCUUGCUGUACCCUGAAAAAACAUUGU